rnacentral:misc_RNA from 1 species
AACGCACCUUGCACUCCUUGGUUUACCUAUGGAGUAUGCCUGUUUGAGUGUCAUGUUAAUCUCAAUCCCUCCGGGUUUUUUCAUAUAACUCGUGGGUGGAUUGGACUUGGAGGUUCUGCUGGCCCACCUAUAUCUGGGUUUGGCUCCUCUCGAAUGCAUUAGCUGGGAAAAGACGCAGGCAAACUGUGGUGUAAUAAUUAUUCCAUCACAGAAACUCUGUGGCUUUGACUGCUUCAAAUUGUCACCACAUUGUGACAAUAGUUUGACCAAUUUGACCUCAAAUCAGGUAGGACUACCCGCUGAACUUAA